CUCAGAUUGAACGCUGGCGGCAGGCCUAACACAUGCAAGUCGAACGGUAACAGGAAACAGCUUGCUGUUUCGCUGACGAGUGGCGGACGGGUGAGUAAUGUCUGGGAAACUGCCUGAUGGAGGGGGAUAACUACUGGAAACGGUAGCUAAUACCGCAUAACGUCGCAAGACCAAAGAGGGGGACCUUCGGGCCUCUUGCCAUCGGAUGUGCCCAGAUGGGAUUAGCUAGUAGGUGGGGUAACGGCUCACCUAGGCGACGAUCCCUAGCUGGUCUGAGAGGAUGACCAGCCACACUGGAACUGAGACACGGUCCAGACUCCUACGGGAGGCAGCAGUGGGGAAUAUUGCACAAUGGGCGCAAGCCUGAUGCAGCCAUGCCGCGUGUAUGAAGAAGGCCUUCGGGUUGUAAAGUACUUUCAGCGGGGAGGAAGGGAGUAAAGUUAAUACCUUUGCUCAUUGAC
rnacentral:rRNA from 1 species